UAUAAAUUUUUAUGGUUUAAUUAAUUUAUUUUAAGUUUAUUUUACAUAUAAAUUUUAGUAAGUAUUUUAUUUUAUUUAAAUAAUAAAAUAUAUUAAUUGAGUAGUAAUUAAUAUUAAAAAUUUAAGAAAUUAUGAUUUAGUAAUAUAAGAAUUAAAAACUAAUUUUGUGCCAGCAGUUGCGGUUAAACAAAAUUUAAAAUAAAUUUUUUUAGUGGUUAAUUUAUAUGUAAAAUAAACUUAAUUUAAAAUUUAAAUUAUUAGGUGAAAUUUUAAUUUAAUAGAAUAUUAAUUUUUUAUUUAUGAUAUUAAUAAAUUUUUGAAAAAACUAGGAUUAGAUACCCUAUUAUGAAAAAUUUAAAUUUAAAAUACUAAAAUAGUAGUUAAUUUUUAUUGAAACUUAAAUAAAUUGGCGGUAUUUUAGUUCAUUUAGAGGAAUCUGUUUAAUAAUUGAUAUUCCACGAAUAAAUUUACUUAAUUUAAUAAUUUGUAUAUCGUUGUUAAAAAAAUAUUUUAAAAUGAUUAAUAAUAUUUAAAAAUUUAAAUUUAAAAUUAAAUCAGAUCAAGAUGCAGUUUAUAAUUAAGAAUAUAAUGGGUUACAAUAAAUUUAUUUAAAUGAAUAUAUAUUUGUAAUAAUUUAUUGAAGGUGGAUUUAAAUGUAAUUUUAUUUAAUUUUUUAAAAUGAUUAAAAAUUAAAAUAUGUACAUAUUGCCCGUCACUUUCAUAUAUAAGUUGAAAUAAGUCGUAACAAAGUAGAGGUACUGGAAAGUGUUUCUAGAAUGAU
rnacentral:ncRNA from 1 species